rnacentral:rRNA from 1 species
AAUGAACGCUGGCGGCGUGCUUAACACAUGCAAGUCGAACGGUGAAGGCGGAGCUUGCUCUGCUGGAUCAGUGGCGAACGGGUGAGUAACACGUGAGCAAUCUGCCCCUGACUCUGGGACAAGCGCUGGAAACGGCGUCUAAUACUGGAUACGAGCUGCGAAGGCAUCUUCAGCAGCUGGAAAGAAUUUCGGUCAGGGAUGAGCUCGCGGCCUAUCAGCUUGUUGGUGAGGUAAUGGCUCACCAAGGCGUCGACGGGUAGCCGGCCUGAGAGGGUGACCGGCCACACUGGGACUGAGACACGGCCCAGACUCCUACGGGAGGCAGCAGUGGGGAAUAUUGCACAAUGGGCGAAAGCCUGAUGCAGCAACGCCGCGUGAGGGACGACGGCCUUCGGGUUGUAAACCUCUUUUAGCAGGGAAGAAGCGAAAGUGACGGUACCUGCAGAAAAAGCGCCGGCUAACUACGUG